ensembl:lncRNA
UGAACCGGAUGUAGAACGAGUUGUUCACAGUAUAAACGUGUAUUCUCAUGCUUACUGUAUUUAGUGGGGAUUCAUUAAACGCUUUGUUUUGUGUGAAGUCAAAUUAGACCAUGCUAUCUUCCUUACGGUCAUUUUUAAAUAGUUCAGUUUCUAGAGAAAUUUCUAUGAGGAAGUUUGCAGCAUAUUUCCUGUUUCCAUGGUUUCAACACUUCUGCUUAAUUCAAAACGUGGUUUAGUCAGUUGCAGAGGUGAUUAUAGAGACAAUCGUAUCACAUUUGGUUCAUUAAAGUAAAUGCAGUGAUGAAUAUGAGAAGGCUGUGUAGCUUUAAUCACGCUGCUUACAAUAACAGGAAAGUUAGUAAUGAAAUUUUUCUAUUUUAGUAGCUGAUGGCAUAAAGCAUGCAGUUAAAUUACAUUGUUUCACUGGAUUGCCAGCAACCACAUUGCAUUCAGUUCCUCAUACUUUUCCUCCUUUACUAAGAUCUAGUCCCAGAAACAUUUUGACUUGUCAUACUGUUAGGGUUCGGAAAGCCCUCGAAGGAGGCCUCACUCCUAUGCUCUGGCCCUGGCCGGAAACGAUGAAUGAAGAGAGCCAACUUGCUCAAAUUAAACAAUUAAAAGCAUUUAAUAGCUAAACAACGUCAUAUGGAAUACAAUUACAAAGGGAAAUACAAUACAAACAGUAAAAUAUUUCGCGAAAUAGAGAAUUCUCUCAGUCAAGUAUAAAGUGACUUAUCAAAGCGGCUUCAGAAAUUUUUUCAACAGUUUCUUCCCCGCUUUGGUCCUUUGAAAACUCUUGAGGUGUGUCUUCUUUGGUGCAUUUGAAUGUCAUUGGCUUAUUCUUCAAAGGGUCCCCUCCUGGACUGUCCCCUUCACGUCGAGGUGUGAAGCUGCAGCUGUAACCUGAAACCUCUCUGUCCUAUCUGUCCCUCACAUUCCAAUGCAUUCAAUGUAGAUACAUUUGGCUUUAUGCCUCAAUGAGUGAAUAUAACAAAGCAUACAUCGUUUAAGUCUUCAUCUUAUAACUAGUACACUUUAAUUACAACACAUCAUUAAUGAUCAUCGUUCAUCACACUUCAUCAUAAGAUCUAAUCCAGUAUAUGUGGUCCAACACUCAAAACAUUUGCCUCAAUCGGCUGUCUUACAUUCAGUUGCUCAUCUACUACCUGAUAGGAGAGAAAACUCCCAAAAAACCCUCUUUGGGGAGAAAAUUGGGAGAAAUCCAUAAUGGACGGCAACUAGCCUCCAUCCCCAGGUUUUAACAUCACAUUCUGACAGAAUGUUAAUGUGUACAGUGUUUAUAUGAAUUACGUGACUAUACUUUGUGUUAGAUUCAUAUUACAUUCACUUGCUAAUGUAAUAACUAAUAUCUAACAUUACACAAACUACAAUUCUAGAAUAAACAUUUUUACAUGUACAAUCAUGUCCAUGACUAGGCGUGCACUUCUACUUAAAUCCCCAACAAUACUGAGCAUUCAAUGUGUUUAUCUUUUAACACCAUCAUGUUUUUAUAUUAAGUUAUUCAUGUUUCAUCUGCCUGAGGUUUAACUAUGUGAGGAACACAAGUGGUGUACAAACACAGCCUGCCAGCAACACCUCAGCCAUGUGGUCGGUAGCUUAGCGUCUAGUUAGUUCCCUUUCUGAGCUCUUCCUCCUUAUCUCGCACACACACACACACACACACACACACACACACACACACACACGCACACACACACACACACACACACACACACACACACACACACACACACACCUCCCCCUACACAUGCACAAAUCAAUGUUUUUAUUUGUUGUUUAGAUAUUAGGAUAUCGUAUAAUAGCUUUUGUUGAUUUCCCACGGUAUUGAUCAGAUUAGUAUUGUUGGAAGUUAAUAAAACCUGUUAUACUUUAAGGAGCAGUUUUCUGUGAUUUUGUGCAUAUGUGUAUUGUAAUGCUGGCUAGAUACAUAGCCAGCGUAGAAAAACUCAAACCUUCAAUUCCGUGCUCUUAACGAGUGAAUAUUAAUUAUGAGACUUGAUUUAUAGUUUGGUUAUUAGUCCCUUUUUAGGCUAGUGCCCCGUUAUUUAUUUAUUUAGUGAAUGAUCUCAGCAAUUAUUAAUAAUUCCAUUGAUGUCAAUGAUUUAAUUUCACACUAGCUAUUGUUGGGGUUUUAAGUAGAAGUGAAUGUCUAGUCAUAGAAUUUGUAGUGCGUGUAAUGAUGUUUAGUGAUAGAAUUGUAGUUUGUGUGAUGUUAGAUUAGUUAUUACAUUAACAUGUUAGAUGAAGUGAAUACAAUGUGAAUCAAACACAGUUUAUAGUCUUUUAAAACGUAGAAACACACUACACAUUUACAUUCUGUUACAAAUUGAUGUUAAAACCUGGGGACGGAUGCCAAUUGCCGUUCUUUAUGGAUUUCUCCCAAUUUUAUCCCCAAAAAGGGUUUUUUGGGAGUUUUUUCUCCUGUCAGGUAAUAAAAUGAACAACUUAUUGCGAGGCAGCCGACUGAGGCAAAUGUCUUGAGAAUUGAACCACAUGAACUGUUUUAGAUCUUAUGAUGAAGUGUGAUGAACGGUGAUCAUUAAUGAUGGGUUGUUGUAAUGAAAGUGUACUAGUUAUAAGAUGAAGACUUAAACGAUGUAUGCUUUGUUGGGUUCACUCAUUGAGGCAUAAAGCCACUGUAUCUGCAUUGAGUGCAUUGGAAUUUGAGGGACAGCUAGGACAGAGAGGUUUCAGGUUACAGCUGCAGCUUCACACCUCGACGUGGAAGGGACAAUGGAGGAGGUGACCCUUUGGAGAAGAGGCCAAUGACAUUCAAAUGCACCAAAGAAGACACACCUCAAGAGUUUUCAAAGGACCAAAGCGGGGAAAGACUGUUAGAUCUUCUCCUGCAGCCGCGUUGAUAAGUCACUUUAGACUUGCUCAGAGGAUUCUCUAUUUCGCGAAAUAUUCCACUGUUCGCUUAGUAUUUCACUUUGUAAUUGUAAUCCCUAUUACGUUGUUCAGUUAUUAAAUAACUUUUGAUUUUUGAAUUUAAACGAAUUGACUCAUUCGUGUCCUCGUUUCCGGCCGGGACGAGAACAAAGGAUUGAGUCCUCCCUCGAGAGCUUCCGAAACCUUCACACUAUUAACCAACACAUUACCCCUAUGUCAUGUCAAACAAAAUGGUGUUACUGUCAUGGGGUGAUAGCCAGAACGAAGGUUGAACUCAAAAGCAGGAUUCAAAGGAUAAAAAAAAAAGAUUUUAUUUUGGCAGCAGAGGGAUUUAAAUAAUUAGUUCGGGAUCCGUGGCCGGGGAAGAUGCUGGAGAGGCAGACAGGCACAGGGGUCCAGGCGGGAGGUGCGGUGCAGUAG